rnacentral:lncRNA from 1 species
GUUCAUCUUCAUCUUCUCUGGUUUUCUUCUUCAAAUCUCCAUGUUUUCAUGGUAUCAGAGCGGGGAAAUCUUCCGAUCCUUCUCUGUUACGCGUUAUCGAUGCUUGAUGAAGCUUUCGCUGAAAGUUUUCUUCGGUUAUCUGAGAAAAAUAUUUUUUUCGAUGAAUGUUAAUCGGUUAAUCGGGACUUUUAUGUCUGUUUGAGACUCCGAUCCUGUAUCAGUAGAUAUUUUGGGUGAUUUUCCGGCAUCUCUGACUUUGUUCCGACGAGUUCUUCAAAUUCUAGGGUUUUCCGACUUUCGGACCUAGAGUUUUGGUGUUAUCCGAUGACUUUUUCUUCGCUUGAUGGACGUUUUGGGUGAUUUUCCGGCGUCUAUGGCCUUACUCCGGUGAGUUUCAGAACCUAGGGUUUUCUUUGUUGAUUGAAGGCCGAUCUUCUCU